AGUGAACGCUGGCGGUAGGCCUAACACAUGCAAGUCGAACGGCAGCACAGUAAGAGCUUGCUCUUACGGGUGGCGAGUGGCGGACGGGUGAGGAAUACAUCGGAAUCUACUUUUUCGUGGGGGAUAACGUAGGGAAACUUACGCUAAUACCGCAUACGACCUACGGGUGAAAGCAGGGGAUCUUCGGACCUUGCGCGAUUGAAUGAGCCGAUGUCGGAUUAGCUAGUUGGCGGGGUAAAGCCCACCAAGGCGACGAUCCGUAGCUGGUCUGAGAGGAUGAUCAGCCACACUGGAACUGAGACACGGUCCAGACUCCUACGGGAGGCAGCAGUGGGGAAUAUUGGACAAUGGGCGCAAGCCUGAUCCAGCCAUACCGCGUGGGUGAAGAAGGCCUUCGGGUUGUAAAGCCCUUUUGUUGGGAAAGAAAAGCAGCAGGUUAAUACCCCGCUGUUCUGACGGUGCCCAAAGAAUAAGCACCGGCUAACUUCGUG
rnacentral:rRNA from 1 species